rnacentral:rRNA from 1 species
AUGAGCAGCAGGGUGGAUGAGUCGGAGCUAAGGAAGGUCUUCCAGAUGUUCGACAAGAAUGGUGACGGCCAGAUCACCAAGAAGGAGCUAGGUGAGUUGCUCAAGAACCUAGGGAUCUACAUCGCGGACGACGAGAUGGACGCAACCAUGGCCAAGAUUGAUACCAACGGUGAUGGCUGCAUCGACGUCGAGGAGUUCGGCCUACUAUAUCGCUCCAUCCUCGAUGAAGGCGAUGGGCCUAACGGUGGCAACAUGGGCGACGAGGAGGAGGAGAUGAGGGAGGCGUUCGGUGUCUUCGACCAGAACGGUGACGGCUACAUCACCAUUGAAGAGCUGCGGUCCGUGCUGGCAAGCCUCGGCCUCAAGCAGGGUCGCACCGUUGAGGAAUGCCGCCAGAUGAUCAACAAGGUCGACGCCAAUGGCGACGGCCGCGUCGACUUCAAGGAGUUCAGCCAGAUGAUGCGCGGUGGCGCGGCCAAUCGUGAGGAUUGA